CCACCUUCGCUAUUUAAAUCCUGGAAAAUUAUUGUUUCUGGAAUUUUGAAUUCUGGUUUGAUAUUUACUUUGAAUUUUACGAAUUUGUAAGGUUUUUAUGUAAUGGUUUUCCGUUUGCUUAGAGUGCCAGUGUUUUUUUUACUGUUUGAGUUUCAUAGCCUAUCUGAAGCUACUUUUGCAUAAGGGAUCUACGACGGGCUAGUUUUCCAGCGUCAAAGAUUCCGCGUCGACCUUUAUAGUAUAUCUGUGCAAGCGAGCUUCCCCAUAAUUCCUGAAGAUGUCGCGAUGCUGUUCACUACAAUUUAUGGAUUUGCACCACCAAUAACGAUAGGGAACGACCAUCGAAUCGGCUUCGGUUACCGGUUCGGUAAUCACGCAGAUGUCCAGGUGUUGUACGAGCUCGGACCACAGGUCGCGACCAAACCCUUGGAGCAAGUCAGUGUACCGCCUCUGUCUUCUCGUGAUGUUAGAAGACCGCUGUUGAACUUAUUGCUUCGCUCUGGUCUCAUCAGAAACGCAUCUUAUAACUACAAAGUCGUUCAUAAUAAAUCAUAGAACUAUAUUCUUCUGAUGGCUGAAAAGCAAAGUUAUAAAAAAUUAAUAAG